rnacentral:tRNA from 1 species
GAGAGGUCCAGAAGACCUGCUAACUCU